rnacentral:rRNA from 1 species
UACGUAGGUGGCAAGCGUUUGUCCGGAUUUAUUGGGUUUAAAGGGUGCGUAGGUGGUCUAUUAAGUCAGUGCUGAAAUAUCCCGGCUUAACCGGGAGGGUGGCAUUGAUACUGAUGGACUUGGAGUGGAGUUGAGGUAGGCGGAAUUGACGGUGUAGCGGUGAAAUGCUUAGAUAUCGUCAAGAACACCAAUAGCGAAGGCAGCUUACUAAGCUCUAACUGACACUGAUGCACGAAAGUGUGGGGAUCAAACAGG